GUCCUGGUGCCAAUCUGUCUUCAUCAGAGAUUGCAGCCCAUAUCGGCAGCGGCACCAGGAAUUCUGAGGCACCGAUGAUGUUGGAUCGUAUUCUAAGGCUCCUAGCCAGUUACUCUAUUCUCAGCUGCUCUGUCGUUGCUAAUGAAGAAGAUGGGUCUGAUUCUCAGAGGCUCUACAGCCUUGGUCCUGUGUCCAACUACUUUGUGACUAAUGAAGAUGGUAUUUCUUUCGGUCCCAUGAUGGCAUUGAUUCAAGACAAGGUCGUCCUAGACUCCUGGUCUGUUUAGUACUACUCUCUUGCCCCUACGAAUUAACCAUUGCCUUAACCCUUUUCUCUUUUUAUUCAUCUAUAUUUUGUUUUUAGAAUUAUUAGAGAUAAUUAGAGCAAUAGUUCUGAAUUUUAGUUCAAUUGGAACUUUGGUCUUUAAAUUAAAUAUCCCUAAAUAUUGGUCUCUAAACUUGUUACAAUGGAAAACAAUAAUUUUUUUGAAUAACUCCAUAUGAACUUCGUCCCUAUUUGGCCCCUUUAAACUUUUUAUUCUAAAAGGAAAUUACCAAGAAUGUUAUUCAGAAUGACUAUUGCUUCACAUUAUGGCAAGUUUAGGAAGCAAUACUACAAAAAUUUUAGUUCAUGAACCAAAGCUUAAAUUGUGCCAAAAUUGCACCAAUUUUUUGAAAUUAUUAUGAAAAAGAAACCAAUAUAACUUGAAAAUAACUUAUCUAUUUUGCACGACUCGCUAUAAACUCAUUUGGCAAUUUUCAUUUGUUUCAUUCUGGAAUCACUUACAAGUUAUUUAUUUACAACAAAUUAGAAAUUGCCACAUCAAUCAUUGUAGAAAAGAAAUUGGUCUCUCUAGCUUUUAUUUUCUAAUUAGCCUAAUUACUAGUAAUUAUCUUGUUUCAGAAAAAAAAAUAGUAAUUUAUCUUUUUAACUCUAACUUGGGUGAUACACAUUGACAUUGAUAGGUCCCAACUGAAAGAUGCAGUUGUUGAAGGAGGAAUUCCAUUUAACAGGGUCUAUGGCAAGGGGUGUUUUGAGUACCUAGGUUUAGACCCCAGGUUUAAUCAAGUUUUCAACACAGCAAUGUUUAACCACACCACUAUUGUCACCAACAAGAUUCUUCAUCUCUACAAGGGUUUUGAGAAAAUUACCCAACUUGUUGAUGUUGGUGGUGGUUUGGGAGUCACCAUUAGUCUAAUCACUUCUAAGCAUCCCCAUAUUAAGGGUAUCAAUUAUGACUUGCCUCAUGUCAUAAAACAUGCCGCUUCAUAUCCUGGUAAAGAUCACUUUAGUUAAUUUGAUUCGUAAUAGUUAGUUGGAACAUGAUGUUUGCACACUCACCAUUUUCCUUUCCCUACACACUUAUGUUUUAGCUUCAGGUUGAAUAAAUCAUAUAAGAAUCAAAAGACAUAAAUAUAAAAAGAUAUACAAAAGAAGCAAACGACAUGCGGGAAUUAUUUUUCUUCUUUUUUUAUUUAUCAUGCACAAGCCCUGCAACUUAAAAUAGGAAUUAAUUUAUUUUUGCAGGGGUAGAACAUGUUGGAGGAGACAUGUUUGCAAGUGUUCCAUCUGGGGAUGCCAUUUUGUUGAAGGUUAUUUUUCAUUUUCCCGAACAUUAAUUUUAUUUUCCUCUUUAGUUUUAGGUCAUACGAACAAUGGUUACAAUGUAUCUUUUGAUAAAUUUGUAGUGGAUACUUCACGAUUGGAGUGACCAACACUGCCUAAAGCUGUUGGAAAAUUGUUACAAUGCUAUUCCAGAUUAUGGAAAAGUGAUUAUUGUGGAAGCACUUCUUCCAGUGAUGCCAGAGACUAGCACCGCCGUGAAGAGCACCUCCCUACUUGAUGUGCUUAUGCUGAGUCAAAACAGGGGAGGAAAGGAGCGGAGCCGAGAAGAGUUCAUGACUUUGGCAACUGGUGCUGGAUUUAGUGGCAUUAAAUAUGAAUGUUUUUUUUCCAGCUUUUGCGUGAUGGAGAUCUUUAAGUAAACACCUAUGUAUGUGAAGAUGAUCGGCAAAAUAGUGUUAUGCUUGAUUAUUAUUUCUUUGAGCUAUGUCUAGAUGUGUGUAUAAAUAAAAAUAACUGCUAGAUGUGGGUAUAAAUAAAAAUAACUCCGGCUCAUAAUUCGUAUGUACGUGAACAUGAUCAGCAAAAUAUUUUUCUUAUAACUACAAGGAGAUAUAUUAUGGCAAAAUGUGUACGUAUGUAUCUGACUAGAGAUGAGGCCUUUUGGCGGUAAGAAUUGGGUGUUUAUGCUCACCAACUUCCCACCUCUGUCGCCGUUUAAUGAGUUGAUAACUCGGCUCCUGCUCUUUGAAUCCAAGCAAGCUAUGAAUCAGGCUGUUGCUUCAACUCCUGCUACUUUCUGGCCGUAAUUCUGUUGUUGGUUUGUCUAAUGGUGCUUCUGGUUCGGGCUCCUCGCAGUAAUGGUGGUGGACGCUCUAAUGCUGAGCGAUAUGGUCAGCGUGGUGAUGUGCAUCAACGCCCUGGUAUCCUUGGACCAACCCUUGUCAACCGUAGAGCUCAGAGUUGGGCCUGCAAUCAAUUUGGCCACAUUGUCGCGUUUCGUCCUCAAGCUACUCGUUCAAAUGAUGAUACUUCUCGUGCUUUUGCUGGUAUGCAUAUUGCUUCUUCUUCUGAUCCAUCAUGGUAAUCGGAUACUGGUGCUACACAUCAUCGGGUAUGGUUCUAAUGGUGUGACCCUCCCUAUUGCGCACCGGUAAUAUUUCAUUUGAGUCAGGGUCAUUCAUUUUUCGCUUAUCGCAAGUUUUAUAUGUUCCAACAAUUAAGAAAAAAUUAUUGCCGUAUACUUUAAGAAGACAUCUAAGCCUCUAAAACAUUGAUUUCAUAUCUCAUUCGACAAAAAUAUCCUCUCUUUUUUUGGAACUUUAACAAAAAGCUCUCGGUACUGUUUACUUUAACGAAAAACCAUAUUUUCACACUAAAAAGUCAAUCAUGGUACUAUUCACUUUACCCUUUAUUUUGUUUUUAUCGUUAAAACUCAAAGUUUUCAAAUCAUUUUCAUUAGUUUUUUUUUUUUUCAUCAUCUGUGUUAUACUUUAGUGAUUAGGGCUUUGUUCUGCAAUGGACGUGAGAGUAUCCUUAAGAGCUUGGAGAAAACCAAUCUUAGAAUACAUGUAGAUAAAUAGUUGGGUGUAUUUAGAAACUAACUAGAAUUGGUACCCGCGCGUUGCUGCGGGAUUGAAAACUAUAUGAAAGAUUAUGCAAUUUCAAUCUUCAUAAACAAUGUUUGAGUCAAAAAUUGAGUUACCAAUACCAAUGCAAAUUAUACACAACCUCAUCAUGGAUGAAACAAAUUUAAAUAUCAAAAGAGAAAUCUAUUUCGUCUAUUAAAAAUAUUACGAAGUUCUUUGGAUACGAAAAAACCCAAAUUGCUUCUUGUCCAAAAACAUUAAUGGGAAAUGUUGUUUAUAGCAACGUUAAAAGUUGUCCUCUGCUAUGUUGGUCAUUAAGGAAGCAUCCCAAGCAAGGGAAAAAAAAUUGAAAUAAAUUUAUAGGUAGUAGAAUCAUAUCAUGAACAAAAUAAGGAUAAUGUGUGUUUACCUAGUGUUUCUGUGUGCAGAAAGAAGUCUGAUUUUGCACGAAAUGGAUAUGACCUUCUCUGGCAUUUCUAUAGAACGCGAUCAAAGUUUUGUGCGUUUCCAACUUACUUGCAACCAAGUUUCUACAAAAAUAUCUUUUUCAAGAAAGUAAUUAGACCAAGGCAUAAGAGAUUAUAAGAAAAAGUAUAGAAAAUAUAAACCACAUAUACCACUUAUUAUACUACUUUGUAUUCCGAAUACACCUAAAAAUAUAUCGCUUUCUAGUGAAUGGUUCGGUUCCAAUUAAUUCCACUUUAGUUUCUUUCAAACCCUUCAACUUAUCCUUGACUUUUUUUUUAACAGCAUCAUAAUUAAGAGUUAGCUAAUAAUAAAUAUACAAAUAUGUUAACCUUUAGUUGACCCUCGACAUGUGCUCGGAAGAGGGCUCUUCCAACAUCCUGAAAUCAUGUCAAGAGUUAAAAAAGAGCAAGAAAAAACUAAUGUAAGAGCUCUGUAAAAUUGAGGCGGAGCAUAUUACCUUAUAGGGCCUCUUUAAAAUCAGGUGGACCAAAUUCUAUUGCCAUCAUCAUCCAAUUUGUCAACCAUCUGAAAAAUGAAGAGAGAGUAUCUACAUAACUAAAAUCUGAAAAGUAAUAGCAAAAAAUGAGUCGGUUGUUUAAAACAACGAUCUAGUUAAGACAACAUCUAUACUUGCAUAUAAUUCACAAAUUCUGAGAUAGAAUAGUGUAAUAAGGAAUUUCCACCAAGUUCCUUUUUAGAGAUCCACCAGUCCCUCUCAAAAAUCCCACUUCAAUGAAAAGGAAGUUAGACCACACUAAAAAAUGCAUUACUCCAGCUUUUUUCAAAAAUGUUCUAAGAAGCUAAAUGCUUGAAGAACCUAAGAAGAUAAUAUAUAAAUUAAUACUAAAUUGUAAUAUUAAAUCUACAUAUACUAAAGUAAAGUUAUCGUAAAUGCGCAAAAAUAAAUCCAAACAAAAACUUGAAACUAAAAAACAAAUGGUUAUCAAACAGCACCUAAAGGAAUACACAUUUUGGAUUUAUUAAAUGGAGUUUUUCAAGACCUUCAAUUAAGUGAAACUAAUAUACAAAUACUAAAGAAUAAUAUCGCAUAGCUUUACCUCAAUCUUCUCAAAAUUGAUCAUGACACCCCCUUUUGUACCACAUGGAAUAUCCCUUGCCUACAAUGUUGCUAACAGAAGCUUUCAAACCUAUAAUGAAUGGAAGGACAGAAUCCUCAAUCUUCCAAACAUGGAUUACCAAAGUUACCUGAUCAGUCUGCAGGGUCACUUGAACAGGGUCAAAAUGGGUGACCGGAGGCAGAUUGAGAUGAAAACCUGAAAUUUGAAAUAAUGAGAAGCAGGCAAAUUUAAGGCCCUAUGCAAGCAACUUCUCAAUGCACAUCACCUGGAUCUGUAAUUGUCUUCAGAAGAGCGCUUCCACUCCAAUAUACCCCAACAUGACCUUCUGGGAUUGAUAUCAGUCCUUGGUUGAUACCCAGGUUCUGGUUCACAACUAAAUUUAUUAAUAUUCACAUAAUCAUGAGACACGAUUAGAUUAUUAGGUUCACAACUAAAUUAAAAAAACAUUCACAUAAUCAUGAGACAUCAUUCCAACUCAUUUCAUAUACCCAAAAGAAAAUCUAAAAUGAAACUAUGAUUUCCACCACAAAGAAGUUGGAAUUCUCUACUGUCACCACCCUGUUUUCUCUGCCCUGAAAUUGGAUGAAUCCAAUAUUGGACACAUAUUCUCACACUAAUUAGCAAAAAAAAAAAGAAAAAAUCUAAAGUUUUAAGAAAUUGGGAGCCAAAAUUCAAUAAUUAACCAAAACAAAGAAAAAUAUCUAAAACCCAGAUUUGAAAACAUAGAAAUAAACAUAUAUGCCACUCGCCAUUUCAGUGGCUUCUGGUUCUGUAAGGUUAUUUAUUUGACUGCUGUAGGGUAUACGAAACCAAGCGUAAAAUAAAUGGAGCAUGUUCAGAAAAUAUCCCAGAUGAAAACCCAAAAAAUCAGAAGAAAGAAAACCAAAAAUAAAAGGCCUAAUCGGAUAAAUGGUCCCCGUGGUCAUAAGGUAUUCGGAUGAUAGCCCCUGUGGUAAAAAAAUUCGGAUUUAAACCCCUGUGGUCUAAGUCUGUUAGGAUUUAUGCCCUUCUGUUAAAUAAUGCUGACGUGGCUGCCACAUAUAUGCCACGUGGCUGCCAAAUGUCUGCCACGUGGCAAAAUAAUAAUUUUUUUUUAAAACCUGAAUUUUUACAAAAAAAAAAAAAAAAACCCAGAACCUCCCCCCCCGCCCUCCACCCGUUCCCCCCCCCCCCCCGCCGUUCUUCUCCUUCUUCCUUCUUCUUCUUCUUCCCGCCAGUCUCCCCGCGCGACUCCUCCCUCUCCCUCUUCCUUCUUCUUCUUCUUCUUCUUCUUCUUCUUCCCGCCGGAGACCAGCUCCCCCCCUCCCCGCCGGAGCCCUCUCUCCGCGCCCUCCUCCCUCUCCCUCUUCCUUCUUCUUCUUCUUGCAGAUCUGCGUUUUUUUUUUUUUUUUGUAAAAAUUCAGGUUUUAAAAAAAAUUAAAAAUUAUUAUUUUUGCCACGUGGCAUAUAUGUGUCAGCCACGUCAGCAUUAUUUAACAGAAUGGCAUAAAUCCUAACAGACUUAGACCACAAGGGUUUAAAUCCUAACAGACUUAGACCACAGGGGUUUAAAUCCUAACAGACUUAGACCACAGGGGUUUAAAUCCGAAUUUUUUUACCACAGGGGCUAUCAUCCGAAUACCUUAUGACCACGGGGACCAUUUAUCCAAUUAUGCCAAAAUAAAAAUUACACGUUCCUAAAUUUCUUUUUGAGGUUUUAUCAGAAAUUUGUAAAUCAAAAUUAAAUUCCAAUCCAAACUCAAAUUGCAAAACAAUCAGAGCAUACAAAUUUAAUAACCCAAAAGGUUAAUGAAACCAAAGCUAUACUUGAGUACCUCACUCAAAGUUUCAGUUGGGUGUGUAGCAUAUGCUUCCCGAUAAGAAACAGCUUUCCGCAGGCGCUUCCCACGACCAAGAGCUACUUCUUCCUCACUUUGAUAUUUCUCCCAUCUACAAAUCCAACAAAAUGCAAGUAAGUCCUUAAUAAAUCAAGAAAAUGGGAGAUGGAAAGCACUUGGUACACAGGAAACCUCAUCAUAAACAUUAAAGAAUUCAACCUUCUCUCGAAAUCCAGACGUCAAUUUCAUCGGUUCCUCCGAUUUCCAGAAACCAAUCUGAAGCAUGCAGCAAUCCUAGUAAAGAAAAGGAGGGAGAGAGAGAAGGAGAAGCAGGGGUUUUUUUUUUUUUUUUUUUGGAUGAGAGAAAGCAGAAAACAACAGAAGAGUCGAGAAGCGGAAGUCGAAGCAGCGAUGAUGGACGCGUGGGAUAGGAGGGCAAACCCGUCUUUUUUCUGUGUAAAAUGGAAAAAAAGGGCUCAUAUCAAAGGAAUUGGAUGGCAGUUUCGUCCUUACACUGUUAAUAAACAGUGUUUUUGUUGAAUUUUAGUAUAUGUAUAAUUUGUUUUUUUUGUUUUUAAUUCAUAUACUGCCUAAAUAGUAAUUGCAUAUUAGAAUAAACACCUUAUUUAAUAAUAAAAUUCCAUGUGCCUGUACUUAAUAUUAUGUGAGGUGCCAAUAUAAACUUUAUUAACCAAAAAAAUAAAAACACACACACAUUACUAUUGAUGAGUAUUUGGAAGCUUGGAUUAUGUUUUCAUUUUUCAUUUUUUAUUUUUUUGGUCUGAAAAGCUAAAUGCAUUAAUCCGAUAGUAGGGUACAGGCCAACUCAAAGGAAGGCAAAAUAACUCAAAUACAUUGGGAAACAGAUACAUAAAAGCUUAGCCCAAAUAAAUAAACUAAAACGGGAACCCAAAUCCUUAAGUUUCGACCGUAGAAAGAAGCAUCCGCCACCGUCAUCGCCACGAAAGUCUUGCUAGCAGCUACUGAACUAGCAACACUAGAGAAAAUGACCAAGUGGUGAAAAUGAACAAGACAUCGCAGCACAAAAGUACCAAACCCACACCAAGAAGCACACCACAUCCAGAUUUCUUCACUAAAGAUGCAGAACCAAAAGAUAGUCACCAGAUCCAAAUUCCAUUCACGAAUCCCAACAAAUAUGUACAAACACAGUAACACAUGGAUAGUUUGUGAGGCUAAGGGGGUAUGUAAAAUACCCUUACUUUGGUUGAAGUCGCAGUACGCUUGGCCUCGAUGGAAAUUCGGCAAGCCAUUUUGGGGGGGGGGGACAGUGAGAAAGGGAAAUAAGGUUGGCAACCAUAUUUGGUCCAGAGUCAUGCAGAUCAGAGCAAAGGAUGGGGUGGGGAUGAUUUAUGGGGAAGGGAGGCAAAUGGGAAAAGUGAGGAAAGAUGGAGUUUUGGGUUUGGAAAAGAACGGCCAAAGGAAAUGGAGGGGUGGAGAGGAGGGACAUGAAGUCCAAAAGUGAGACAAACUCAUGGAAAAAUUUGAGACAAAGCUCAAGGAAAUUGAGAAAAAUCUCAGGAGAAAAUUGAAAAAGAAAGAAGAGGAUCAGGAGAAGGAAGGAAAUAGGAGAACAAGGAACUUGGACAAGGAUAGCCAUUGGCACCCAAGCCAAAGGCUAGGGCCGGCGGCAAAGGAGUUUGCAAGGUUUAGAAACUAGAGAGAGAGUCUCACGUGUCAGGUGGCAAAUUCACCUGUAUAACUAUCUUGCCUGUAUCACAUGUGAAACUUGGGAAUCUCCCCCCUCCCUCACACUAGGCCUGGCAAUUCCUGACACGACCCGAUAACCCGACACGACACGACACGAAAUUAAAAGGUGUUCGGGUCGACACGAUAACAAAACGGGUCGUUAUCGGGUAACCCGAUAAGCACCUGUUAAGAUAACGGGUUUGUUCGGGUAUACACGUGGGUAACACGAUACACGAUAAGCAGAAUAUUAAUUUAAUAAUUUAUAACCCAAAAAAAAUACUAUAAUAAUUAUAUAUAUAUAUUAAUUUAACAAUUUUAUACCCCUAAAAACUAUAAUAAUUAUAUAUAUAUAUAUAUAUUAAAUUAACUAUAAUAAUUAUAAUAAUUAUAUAUACUAUAAUAAUUAUACCCAAAAUAUUAACUAUAAUAAUUAUAUAUAUAUAUAUAUAUAUAUUAAAUUUUAUACCCCUAAAAACUAUAAUAAUUAUACAUACAAAAUAAAUAGAUUUAAAUCUACUUAAUAAAUAAAUAUAUAUACACACACACACACCAUUGAACUUCAUGGGAUACGAAUUAUACGAAACUAAUUUCAACGAUCCAACCGUCAAAAAUGUUUGUAUAUACUUCGAGAUCGCAUACGCCAAAAAUUGCAAAAAACAAACAUUCAGAGAGCAAGUAACGGGACAAAACUUUUCGACGGUUAUAAACGAAAAAUCACGAUUUAACGGUCAUUUUAACUCUGAUUUUGAUGAUUUUUUACAACCACACUCCUUGACCCUAUAUGAAUACAAUGAUUUAAUUCGAUCUUCAAUUUAAAAUAUUUACACUAGUGGAUACCACAAAAUCUUAUGUUAUACUUAAUAAAAGUAUGAAUAAACUCUUAAGUAUUAGUGAAUCUAUUGUUUUGAUGGGAUACUCAUUCUACAAAACUAGUUUCAAUGAUCCAACCGUCAAACAUGUUUGUAUAUACUUCGAGAUCGCAUACCCCAAAAAUUGCAAAAAACAAACAUUCAGAGAUCAAGUAAUGGGACAAAAGUUUUCGACAGUUAUAAACAAAAAAUCACGAUUUAACAGUUAUUUUAACUCUGAUUUUGAUGAUUUUUUACUACACUCCUUGACCCUAUAUGAAUACAAGUAAUGAAUUCGAUCUUCAAUUUAAAAUAUUUACACUAGUGGAUACCACAAAAUCUUAUGUUAUACUUAAUAAAAGUAUGAAUAAACUAUUAAGUAUUAGUGAAUCUAUUGUAUUGAUGGGAUACUCAUUCUACGAAACUAUUUUCAAAGAUCCAACCGUCAAACAUGUUUCUAUAUACUUCGAGAUCGCAUACGUCAAAAAUUACAAAAAACAAACAUUCAGAGAUCAAGUAACAGGACAAAACUUUUCGACGGUUAUAAAAAGAAAAAUCACGAUUUAACGGUCAUUUUAACUCUGAUUUUGAUGAUUUUUUGUAGCUACACUCCUUGACCUUAUAUGAAUACAAUGAUUGAAUUCGAUCUUCAAUUUAAAAUAUUUACACUAGUGGAUACCACAAAAUAUUAUAUUAUACUUAAUAAAAGUAUGAAUAAACUAUUAAGUAUUAGUGAAUCUAUUGUUUUAAUGGGAUACUCAUUCUACGAAACUAGUUUCAAUGAUCCAACCGUCAAACAUGUUUAUAUAUACUUCGAGAUCGCAUACGCCAAAAAUUGCAAAAAACAAACAUUCAGAGAUCAUGUAACGGGACAAAACAUUUCGACGGUUACAAACGAAAAAUCACGAUUUAACGAUUAAUUUAACUCUGAUUUUGAUGAUUUUUUACAACUACACUCCUUGACCCUAUAUGAAUACAAUGAUUGAAUUCGAUCUUCAAUUUAAAAUAUUUACACUAGUGGAUACCACAAAAUCUUAUGUUAUACUUAAUAAAAGUAUGAAUAAACUCUUAAGUAUUAGUGAAUCUUUUGUUUUGAUGGGAUAUUCAUUCUACGAAACUAGUUUCAAUGAUUCAACCGUCUAACAUGUUUUUAUAUAUUUCGAGAUCGCAUACACCAAAAAUUGCAAAAAACAAACAUUCAGAGAGCAAGUAACGGGACAAAACUUUUCGACGGUUAUAAACGAAAAAUCACGAUUUAACGGUUAAUUUAACUCCGAUUUUGAUGAUUUUUUACAACUACACUCCUUGACCUUAUAUGAAUACAAUGAUUGAAUUUGAUCUUCAAUUUAAAAUAUUUACACUAGUGGAUACCACAAAAUCUUAUGUUAUACUUAAUAAAAGUAUGAAUAAACUCUUAAGUAUUAGUGAAUCUAUUGUUUUAAUGGGAUACUCAUUCUACGAAACUAGUUUCAAUGAUCCAACCGUCAAACAUGUUUGUAUAUAUUUCGAGAUCGCAUUCGCCAAAAAUUGCAAAAAAAAAACAUUCAGAGAGCAAGUAACGGGACAAAACGUUUCGACGGUUAUAAAUGAAAAAUCACGAUUUAACGGUUAAUUUAACUCCGAUUUUGAUGAUUUUUUACAACUACACUCCUUGACCUUAUAUGAAUACAAUGAUUGAAUUCGAUCUUCUAUUUAAAAUAUUUACACUAGUGGAUACCACAAAAUCUUAUGUUAUACUUAAUAAAAGUAUGAAUAAACUAUUAAGUAUUAGUGAAUCUAUUGUUUUGAUGGGAUACUCAUUCUACGAAACUAGUUUCAAAGAUCCAACCGUCAAACAUGUUUGUAUAUACUUCGAGAUCGCAUACAUCAAAAAUUACAAAAAACAAACAUUUAGAGAUCAAUUAACGGGACAAAACUUUUCGACGGUUAUAAAAAGAAAAAUCACAAUUUAACGGUCAUUUUAACUCUGAUUUUGAUGAUUUUUUGCAUCUGCACUCCUUGACCUUAUAUGAAUACAAUGACUGAAUUCGAUCUUCAAUUUAAAAUAUUUACGCUAUUGGAAACCACAAAAUCUUAUUUUAUACUUAAUAAAAGUAUGAAUAAACUAUUACGUAUUAGUGAAUCUAUUGUUUUGAUGGGAUACUCAUUCUACGAAACUAGUUUCAAAGAUCCAACCGUCAAACAUGUUUGUAUAUACUUCAAGAUCGCAUACGUCAAAAAUUACAAAAAACAAACAUUCAGAGAUCAAGUAACGGGACAAAACUUUUCGACGGUUAUAAACGAAAAAUCAUGAUUUAACGGUCAUUUUAACUCCGAUUUUGAUGUUUUUUUACAACCACACUCCUUGACCCUAUAUGAAUACAAUGAUUGAAUUCGAUCUUCAAUUUAAAAUAUUUACACUAGUGGAUGCCACAAAAUCUUAUAUUAUACUUAAUAAAAGUAUGAAUAAACUAUUAAGUAUUAGUGAAUCUAUUGUUUUGAUGGGAUACUCAUUCUACGAAACUAGUUUCAAUGAUCCAACCGUCAAACAUGUUUCAUGAUGAUCGAUGUAAAUCAAGGAUUUUGUAAAUUGAGGUUUAAACUUUUGAGAAAGAUUUCACAACCUUGAAAACAAAAACUGUUUCAUUUUGCAUAUCCUUGCACAUUUAAAAUUUGUAAUAGAUUAGUAGUGUAUGUAUUAUUUUUUUAUUAGGCUCUUAUUUUCGAGUGUAGAUGUAGUACUUAAACGACAAAUGUGUUUUAAUGUUUUGAAGUAAUAUUUAUGUGGCAAUGUGUGGUAUGUGCAAAUUUAAGAAAAAAAAUAUAUUUUUCUUAACGGGUCAUAACGGGUCGGGUCACUUUACCCGUUGGGUUGACCCAAGGUGUUAAUUGUUUUGUAGGUGCAAUUUUGUCCAAGAAGAAGAAGAUGGAAAUUUGCAUCCACAAAUUUGAUAAGUAAACAUCAACAAUUUCUGUACCGACUGAAGCUUUGUUCUGCAAUCUUUACCAUCGUUUGGUUGCUGAGAAAAUUGAAAGCAAGAAAGAGAUUGAAGAAAGUACAUUGUGAAGAAAGUACUUUGUGAGCGAACCAUAUCGGAUUGAGGGAUUUUUGGACAAAAGGACAAUGACGGGGACUACUCCAAUUACUCACUAGAAACUUGCUAGAGAAGGCAUAGUUUCCGGCGACGGUGGUUCGAUCAGAAUGGUGAGAAAAUGGAAGAUGAUAACACAGCCUCCACAGGGAUGGUAUAUACAGGUAGAGAUCAAUGCCCGCUAUUUGGUUUGGUCGUAGUCUUGCUAAAACUAAUUUUGUUGAUUGUUACCUAUCCGUUAAAAUAUUUUUGGUAUGAACAUGUCAAAAAGUUUUAAAAAAAAUCUGUUCGUUUGAAAUUGCUUUUAAAACGGUUAAAAAUGGUGAAAUAUGUUACGAUUAAGUUCAAAAGCAAAAAUUUUAAAGCGUUUCUAACUCUUACAGCAUUUUUUUGUUUAAGCUUAUAAAGAUUUUGCUUUAGGGAGAAAAUGGGAGAGCACUAAAUUAGCUCGUACACUUAUUAAUAAGAAUAAAGUUUUACUAAUAAAAAUAAAGUUUUCUGCUCUAACUAAAAAUAAAAUAAUUAUAAAAAAAGGUUAUUAAUUACUUUGCCCUCAAAUUGUAAUUUAGUAUCCUUUUAUACCCUGAAACUGAUUUAACGUCUGUUUGACUAAAUGGAUGAAAAAUAGGAUAAAUUGAGACUAAAUGAGAUGGAAAUGUGGGACAAAGUGAGACAAAACUGACUAAAUAACAAUUUCAUGAGGUAAAUCAAUUCAUAAGAUUCAUAAAUAAUAAUAAUAAAAAUCUCUUAGUUUCAAAGUUUUCCCACAUGAAACCAUCACUCAAUCAAAUAUAUUGAACGUUGCUUCAUAUGCUACCUUGCAUGGUGGCUUUUUUCUUUGGGAUGCCCUCUGACCCUGAAUUUCUUUUUAAUAUUCUUGCAGAAGAUGUAAACAUUUUUAUUAGGAUUUAAUAAAGUUUACGCUUUAACAAAAAAAAAAAUAUACAUUGAACGGUCUAUUAGUUGAGAGAGAUAAAUGAGAGAGGACAAAGAAAUUAAAAAAUGAGGAUAAUAGCCUCAAAAAAUUGGUAAAUGAAUAUACAAAUCUCAAAAUAUAAACUCAUCAAAUAGCAAUAAACAAAAAUACACUCUCGUAAAAAGGCGCCUAUAGUGAUGCGUUGUAGGCCCUAAUCUAAAGUGUAAUUGAAGUGAGAAGGGGAAAGGAGAAAGUGAAAAACGGUUGGUGUCCCGGUACUUUCACUGCGGUUUACGGACGAUGAUUUUAAUCUUUGUUUAAUGAAUGGCCUAUACAAUAUUUGAAAAACAAAAUUGGUCCCACGUUUUUUUGGUAAGGGGCACUUUGAUUCAGGUCCAAAAAAUUCAACUGUUUUUGAAUUGGGUCCAAUUUUAUUUGAUUUUCUAUUACACCUGUUUUGCCCCUCGAAUUUUUUUUUAAUUCUUUAAAUUUGAAUUUUUAAAAUUAUCUUCAAAUACCUUUAUCUACCUGUUUUCUAAUAAAAAGACAUUAUUACACAUCUUAUAAGUUUAUCAAAAAUUAAAAGAAACAUUGCCAGAGGUAGAUAAAAAAUAAAAUAAAAAAAUUUGUGAUGUAGGUAGAAUCUAUGAUAGAGGUAGACUAUGAACAAAAACCUAUUGUAUAGAUAGAUAAUACAAAAUAAUCUAUGAUGCAUAUAGACUAUGAACAAAAACAUAUUGUAUAGGUAGAUAACACAAUUAAUUUGUGAUAUAUAGGUGGAUAAACACAAUUUGUCACAUCCCGGCCCGGGGUCUACUACAUCCCGGGCCUGCUCCACCACCGUAGCACGAUAUUGUCCACUUUGGGCCCCGACUACGCCCUCACGGUUUUGUUUCUGGGAACUCACACGAGAACUUCCCAGUGGGUCACCCAUUCUGGGAUUGUUCUCGCGCGAACUUGCUUAACUUCGAAGUUCCUACGGAACCCGAAGCCAGUGAGCUCCAAAAAGGCCUCGUGCUAGGUAGGGAUGAGAAUAUACAUUUAAUGAUCACUCUCCUGGGCGAUGUGGGAUGUUACAAUCCACCCCCCUUAGGGGCCCGACGUCUUUGUCGACACACUUCCGGCCAGGGAUUGACUAUGAUACGAAUUUGUCACAUCCCGGCCCGGGGUUCACCACAUCCCGUCCCGCUCCACCACCAUAGCACGAUAUUGUCUGCUUUGGGCCCCGACUACGCCAUCGCGGUUUUGUUUCUGGGAACUCGCACGAGAAUUUCCCAGUGGGUCACCCAUCUUGGGAUUGUUCUCGCGUGAACUUGCUUAACUUCGAAGUUCCUACGGAACCCGAAGCCAGUGAGCUCCCAAAAGGCCUCGUGCUAGGUAGGGAUGAUAAUAUACAUUUAAGGAUCACUCCCCUGGGCGAUGUGGGAUGUUACACAAUUAAUCUUAGAUAGAUUAUCAACAAAAUAAUAGGUAGAUAAAUACAAUUAUUCAUGAUACAUGCACAAUAUAAUAUAAAAAGAUAAAAAAAAGAAGGACAAGUGAUAUAGGUAGAUAAAAACAAAAAAAAAUCGUGCAGAAAAAUGAUAUUGAGGGAGGAAACACUAGAGAAAAUGCUAAUUCGAUAGAACUUCAAAGUUAAUAUAUAUAUAUAUAUAUAUAUAUAUAUAUAUAUAUAUAUAUAUAUAUAUAUAAAGGAGAAUGAAGCCAAAAAAAAAAAAAAAAGAUGAGACGAAGAACCUAAAACACAAGAUUGACUUAUACAAUAUUUUUUUUAAACCAUUCAAUGUAUAUUGAUCAUCCUUAUGAAAGGAGGAGCAUAAGAAGAAUAUUAUGGUAGAAGAUUACUGGGCAAAAUAACGCAGGAAGAGAAAGAUAUUGUGAGGGAGAAACAAGAAAAGAGAAAUGAACGAUUUGGGGAAGGAGAAGAAAAAAAUGGAGAUUUAAAUCUCUAAUCCUAUAAUUAAGGAUAAGAUUAACAUUAAUCACAAACUUAAAAAAAUACAGUAAUUACUUAAUUGGUAAAUUUAAGGGUAAAUUUGGCAAGAGAAUACAAAUAAGCUUAUGUGGACAAUGAAUCACUGGACCUAACCUAAAAAUUAAACAAAAUUGGAUUAUAACUAAUAAUGGCUCAUAAAAUUAGACUCAUAUUAAGUUUCCCCUUUUGGUAAAUCUGUUACGUUUACGGCAUAAAGUUAAUUACGGACUGUCAUGUGGCAUGUCUCUUCCUCAUGUAUCGAAGAGCGACACUUUUAUUGUAUCGUCUCACAUUUUUGAUACUAUAUUAGUUUCAAAAUAAUUUUACACGUUAUAUUAUCGUCACAACAACAAUGUAUAUGAGUAAUGAAAUCCUUCUCCAUGCAUUGAAAAAAAAAAAAAACCAUAGCAUGCAAGGAAUUUAUCAGGAAAGCUUCCGUGGAACUUUAAUCUCUGUACACUUAAUUAAUUGGGAUGAACUAUCAACCAAAUUUGUCCAACAAAUUAGGAAUUCUUUAAAUCGUUAUUUUAAUUUGUUAACAAGCUAAUUAACACAUAUGUAAAGUGCAACCAUAAUCACAUGAACACAUCUUUAAUUACAUGUGAUUGUUACAAAGGAUGAAACAAGAGGAAGUCUUUCCUCAAGCUUAAAUCAAGAUUUUAGAUCGGCCUACUUUGCCGUCGUAGUUUUUGCCACUUGAAUGUUAUUAACUUAUUAUUUUCUUGGUUUUUGCCGUCGUCGUCGUUUUUCCAAAUAAUACAAAACCUAACAAGAUAGAAUCACCAGAUUUAUAGGAAUCCUAAACCAAAUCUAUUAAGAAUUUGCACAAUCACAUAUUAAUUACAACAAUUCUUUGGUUUAUUUAAUUAAAAGAUCAACAUGAAUAAAAGUGUACAUGAAAAAAAAAAUGACGUGCAAAAAUCACUUCUCAACCCAAAACCCCAAAACAAAUCUUGGAUUUCAAGAAUGCAGUUGUUUCCUUGCCCGUCACGUAAUUGCCAAAAUGAUAUACUCAAGUAUAGACUUGGUAAUUUCUUACACGACUCGUUAUACGACACAAGAAUAACGGGUUUCGGGUCAACACGAUAACUAAUCGGGUCAUUAUUGGGUCAUACGAUAAUAACCCAUUAAUAACGGGUCCUUAACAUGUUUACACGAGAGUGAUACACAGGUAAUAUGUUUUGACACGAUAAGGAAAAAGUUAUUUUGAUGAUUUUAAUUUUUUAAACUACUAAAAAAAAACUUACCAUAAAAUACAAUAGAUAUAAUGAAUAUGUAUAUAUUGUUUAUUAAUUAUUAUUCUAUAUAAAUUUUAAAUUUUAAAAUUUAUUUAUUUAUUUAUUUUAUAGUAUAUUUGUCACAGCCCGUCCUGAAGAUGUGUAUUAUUUUAUUCUCGAGGACGUGAAAGGACGGUUUUAUCCUUAGACGUUGAGAUUGUAGUGUAUGUGUGACAUAUUAUGAGACUUAGAGGUUAUUUUCUUGGUUGGUUGGUGACCACGUGGAGCUCACACACACAACACUCACCCUCUCUCUUCUCUCCCGUGCUCUCUCAUCUCUUAGACUCUUUCUCUCUCUUCUCUCUUGUACGGACGACACCCAAAUCUCUUUGAAACGUGACAGAUUGAGGUACUUAAGCACACCAUUGUGUUCGUGAAGCUUAGACAAAUCGAUUGGUACCAUUUUUAGGUAAGGAAACCUUCGAUUUCACGUGGAAACCCUAGCUCUGAUUUUGUCAAUGUUCAUGCAUAUGUGAAUCUUGUGUUUCAGGGAAUUUGAAGCUUAUAUGAAGCUUAAGGAGGCCCUCACGAGUCUCGGGGUAUUUCGUUGGAAGGAAAUGGACGUCGGAGGGCUGAGAUCGACAUGUAUCUAGGUAAGCCGAACUAUCGAGCUUUCUCGGGGAAAACCUAGUAAAUCUUAAGCCUUAAAGUUAUAUAACAUGAUUCUACAUGUUAUUAGCUUCAUUUUGGUACCAAUUUUGUGGAAAAUGGUGAAGAAACGAAGGAGACUAAGCAUUUUAAAGUUUUACCCAGAAACAGGCGAAGUCGCCGGCGACCGGCGACUCACCGGAGAAGAAAGGAGUAUAUUCCGUCAAGGUUGACGGAAUAUGCUAGCGCCGUCAGUCAUCUUUAAUUGCUACCGUUGGGUUUUAACGGAAUAUUCCUGACGGCGUUGACUAACGCCGUCAGUAUCACGUGGCCGUGCUUGGAGGCGCGUAGGGCCGUGCCCUUGCCGGCGCAUGGCGGCGUGUGAGUGGUCCAAAAAUUAUUCUAAAAAUUUGGGGAUGAUCAUAAGGUUGUGUAGGUCAUUGUGGUAUAUUCAUAUACCCAAUUUGAGCUAUGUAUGAGAAGUUAUUAGCUAGUUUUGUCUAUGUGCUUUAAAAUAACGUUUUUAUAGUUAAUUUGCAUAUAAGUGAGACUUAUCCCGAGGACGAACGCAUUCAAGGGUGACUCGGGGGCUACGACCUUCGACAUACCAGUGAGGGGGCUUUUGGUUUUAGUAUAUAUCUAUAUACUUGAUAUUUUCCCAGAAAUGUGUUUAAAUGUAAGUAUGCCUUAAAUGCCAUGCAUAUGAAUUUAUAUGUCGUAUAUGAAUUGGUAUAUGUUUUAUCGAAAUUAAGGGAACACUACCUCAACCUAUAUGCUCCACUCACAAAGCUUCAACAUACAAGCUUCAACAAAAGAAAAUUCAAAGAACUUAGCAAAGAAGGCUUUGGUGUAUUUAACACAAUACGUUGAAAUGAAGGAAAGCUUAUUUAUUAAUAUCCCCGAUAAGUUACAAAUAUGUACAUAUACUUGAGUCAAAAUAAACAAACAAGAGGGAGCCUUCACAAAGGUUGCUUAGGAGAAGUUUCAGCAGUCGGUAGAGCCCCAGAAAGAGAAGGCACCGGAGGGGGAUCAUUCGGAGCCUCAGUACUGGACAAAACCCUAGAAGGAGGAGGCAUCAGAGAUUGAUCAUUUGGAGCUUCAUUACGCGGUACAGCCCCAGAAGACGAAGGCAAUAAAUGCCUUUGGAACAAACCCACAAAUCUCUGAUGAUCAAGUAAAACCUGACCAUCAGAUUCCUUCAUCUGGUCAAGCUUCCUCUUCAUGUUUGUAGCAUAGUCAUGUGCGAGCCGGUGCAACUGUUUAUUCUCAUGCUUGAGCCCUCUAAUCUCCUGUUUGAGACUCAUCACUUCAGCCGCCAAUGAUUCAACUUGGCGGGUUCGAGCAAAUAGGCGUUGGGCCAUAUUAGAGACACAGAACCUGCACACUGAACACUGAGAGCCAGAGAAUCCUUAACAGACAACUCAUCAGACCGUUUGGAAAGUAAUCUGUUAUCUUUGGGAGUGAGAAGGUUCCUGGCCACUACCGCAGCGGUCAUAUCAUUCUUCAUCACGGAAUCCCCAACGGUAAGAGGACCAGUAGGGGAGACGAAGGAUGGGCGCCAUAUGUUGUCUGGAGAAGGCGGGGCUGCCUCUUCAACAAGGUUCAAGUCAAAACGACGGUCGGAGGGGCCAGACAUUUUCAAAGGUGUUGAAGAGAGAAGAGGUCGGACAAAUCAAGAUCUUAGAAGUGCAAGAAUGGAGCUUCUACUGGUGGAUAUUCAAGUGUGCUUUGGAACUUAAUGUCAGCCCCUAUAAAAAUCUGCACUCGACGAAGCUUCAGAAAUCGAAGAAGCGCCUGCUCAGAAAUCGAAGAGACGUUUGCUUUCUCAAAAGCUGGGCUGCUCAGAGACCACGAGGGUCGAUCUCAGAAAUCGAAGAGGUGUUUGCUUUCUCAAAAGCAGGGCUGCUCAAAGACCACAAAGGCCGAUCUCAGAAAUCGAAGAGGCUUGCUUUCUCAAAAGCUGGGCUGCUCAGAGACCACGAGGGCCGAUUUCAGAAAUCGAAGAGGCACCUACUUUUCCAGCCUUGUCAGCACCUGUCACACGCACACUCAGCUUUGCGGAAAUUAUGGGCAUUCUGUCGAAGAUUUCUGGCGAAGUAGAAAGCACAUGAAUCGUACUGUUCAAUCACCCACUUCCCACACGCAACAGUAGCUCAUGGGUACCACAGAUAACUUUGCCAAAGUUCUCUGACAAAGUUGAGACACGUGAAGCUUGCAGCUCCCACUACAUCGCUCUGACCAAGAAGGGUAAAAGAAUUGCAAAGAAACAACACUAACAAAGUUUAGACACAUAAAUUUUGAAGGUCUAGCUACCAUAUUAUUACCCACAAGGGUAAAGGAACAGUACUACUGCUGGAUAAUUGGAAAGUCCCGGUGUGUCAACCUCUGUGCUUCGUGGCAAGGUAGACUAGCAAACAUGCCCAACCUUUACUCACAUUCGAGAAAACACUCCUAACAAGAUUGCUUGCUCCAAAAUCGAAGAGGCACCGCCCUCCGAAUCUCGAGAGCCAGACUCCCAACAUGAUUACUUUCUCAAAAAUUGAAGAGAGGGUAAAGGAACAGUACCACUGCUGGAUAAUUGGAAAGUCCCUGUGUGUCAACCUUUGUGCUUCGUGGCAAGGUAGACUAGCAAACAUGCCCAACCUUUACUCACAUUCAAGAAAACACUCCCAACAAGAUUGCUUGCUCCAAAAUCGAAGAGGCACGGCCCUCCGAAUCUCGAGAGCCAGACUCCCAACAUGAUUACUUUCUCAAAAUCGAAGAGAGGGUAAAGGAACAGUACCACUGCUGGAUAAUUGGAAAGUCCAUGUGUGUCAACCUCUGUGCUUCGUGGCAAGGUAGACUAGCAAACAUGCCCAACCUUUACUCACAUUCGAGAAAACACUCCCAACAAGAUUGCUUGCUCCAAAAUCGAAGAGGCACGGCCCUCCGAAUCUCGAGAGCCAGACUCCCAACAUGAUUACUUUCUCAAAAAUCGAAGAGACACCGCUCUCCGAAUCUCGAGAGCCAGACCCCCAACAAGAUUGCUUUCUCAAAAAUCGAAGAGGCAUCGUUCUCCGAAUCUCGAGAGCCAGACCCCCGACAAGUCUGUAAUCUUCACACGCAACAUCAGCUUUCCAGAUACCACAAACCACUUUUUCAAAGUGCUCUGACAGAGUUAAAACAUGUGAAGUUGGCAGCUCCCACUACCGUGCUAUAACCAAGCAGGGUAAAGGAAUAGCAUUAUUACUUGAUGUUAGGGAGACUCCUAUAUAUGUCGACUUCCAUCCCUAACGGACAGGCAGACCUGCAAAAAUGCUCAACCCUUUCUCUUAUCUGAGAGGGCACUCCCAACAAAGCCUUUCAAAAUAUUCAGCUUUCUUUCCACCCGAUAAUACCUCUGUAAACAAGCUAUACUAGAGCAAGAAUAUCUCAUAUCAUCAGGGUUAAAAGCAAGAGUAUCCCAUAUCAUGCUUUUUCCCUGUCUUUUCCUUUGGCCUUGUUCUUACCUGCAAGACAAGGAGAAAGAGAGCAAUCAGUCAACACUUGGAAUCAAGCUUCCAGCCAGGAACUGACUGCCUGGAACCCCUUACCUGAUUACUUACCUGGCAUUGCUCUCGAGUACUCAUCUUCAACAUCUUAUGCUUCCAGGGAAGAUACCGCAUCUGCCUGAGGAACAGAUAGGGCAAGUGAGAAGGAUACAAGGAAGCAUGUGGAGACAAGUGUAACAGCACACGUGCCGAUACAUCCACUACUCUAUCAAAAGCAAAAGUAUCCCAUAUCAGCAGGGUCGAACGUACUCUAGAUUUGAUGGACUUGUUUUUGACCCUCAAAUUCUUCAGUCGGCCUUAUACUCUGGAGGAAACCAGAAAACCCUCCAGCCCAGUUCAAGAAUAAGCCUGUGGAAAGUUACUUCUUCAAAAGCAAAAGUAUCCCAUAUCAUCUCUCCUCAUUUUUCUUCUCUUUAUCCUUCAUGCUGCCUGCAAAAUAGGGAGAAUGUGAACAAUCAGCCGGAGCUCUGAUUGCUUACCUUUGUCUGUCACCUCUUUCAGCAGAUCCCCCAGCUCGGCGACUUGGGGGACUCCUACUACAUGGUUUGUAUCUCGCUUGACCAAGCAUGAAACUACAAGUAAGCUUCAAGUGAAAUUGAUACAUUACCUUGUGCAUCUCCACCAGUUACAGAUACCACCCCUGGAUGGAGGAAGAGUACUUCCAGAGAAGAUGCCACAUCUACCUAUGAGACAGAUAAGGCAAGUCAAGACGAUACCACACUCCGGUACUUAGAAGUUUCGUGGCUACGAGAUCAUUCUCCCACAAUAUUUCCUAAUGUCAUUUGUACUAAAUCAUUCACUUGUACUCACUAAAGGAGAGCUUGAACCUAUGUACUUGUGUAAACCCUUCACAAUUAAUGAGAACUCCUCUAUUCCGUGGACGUAGCCAAUCUGGGUGAACCACGUACAUCUUGUGUUUGCUUUCCUAUCUCUAUCCAUUUAUAUCCACACUAAUGACCGGAGCAAUCUAGCGAAGAUCACAAAAAGUGAUCGUUUUCGCUACCUAGGAUCUAUCUUGCAAGAGAACGGAGAAUUAGAUGGAGAUCUCAACCAUAGAAUACAAGCUGGAUGGAUGAAGUGUAAGAGUGCAUCCGGCGUGUUGUGUGACCGUCGUAGGCCACUAAAGCUCAAGGGAAAAUUUUAUAGGACGGCAAUAAGGCCAGCGAUGUUGUAUGGCACAAAAUGUUGGGCGGUGAAGCAUCAACGUACACAAAAUGGGUGUAGCGGAGAUGAGGAUGCUUCGUGGGAUGUAUGGGCACACGAGAAAGGAUAAGAUUGGGAAUUAGGAUAUCCGAGGUAAAGUAGGAGUAGCCAAAAUUGAAGGAAAUAUGAGAGAAAAUCGGUUCCGGUGGUUUGGACAUGUGCAAAGAAGGCCUACUGACGCUCCGGUUCGAAAAUGUGACUACGGGACAGAGGUUCGGAGCCGAAGGAGUAGAGGAAGACCUAGGAAAACUUUGGAAGAGACCCUAAGAAAAGACUUGAGUACUUGGAUUUAACGGAGGACAUGACACAAAUGAGCGCAAUGGCGUUCUAGGAUUCAUAUAGCCGACCCCACUUAGUGGGAAAAGGCUUUGUUGUUGUUGUUGUAUAUGAAUUGGUAUAUGAUGCAUUAUAUAUAAUUGUAGUGUUGUGGAUGCUCAGGUAAGCUCAGGUGAGUUAUGUUUGGUUAUGUGAAUUAUCGAUGAUGUGAUAUGUGAUUGAAUAACAUUGAGCUCAUAAAACUACACUUAGGAUGAUUGUGAUUUAGCCAGAGAUAUGGCACAUGCCUGUUUAUUAUGUCACCUCUCGCACCAUAUGCUCAUAUUGGAUCCAAUUUAGGUGCACAAUCUUGUCGUACAGACCUUUGUUAUGGUUCCGACUCGUAGGUGACUAGUGAUUCAUCACCCAACUAUUAUGUGAGAGUAGUAUUGAUCAUGAUUAUAUUACACCCAUUAUUGUCGUACAUACCUUUUCAUUUGGUUCCGACUCUUGUGCAGUAUAUUGCCAUAUAGGUCAUUGUAGUGAUUCCGGCUAGAUUGACUUUUGAGCUAUGAAUUCAGUCGUACAGACUACCACAGGAGUUCCAGCUAGCAUGUUAUAUUUCUAUGAAAUUAUUCUUACCUGAAUUGCUUACUCUGUUAUAUCUUGGCAUGACAUACAUAUGAAUAUGAGUAUGUAAAGUAUGAUUUGAAUUGAUAUAUUUACAUAUAUAUUUAUGUAUAUGCUUAUAUCAUGAUUUUGUGAAAAAUUAUACAUGUUUUACAACGAGGGGUUAGAUAUGUUGAUAAAUGAAAUGGUUUUGUAAAACAUUUGUUUUUGCCCACUCACGUUUUCUGUUUUGCGCCCCUCCAGGUUUUAGGUAAGUUCGCAGUUGCUGGAUGCGAGGACUUCAACGGUUUUGACCUAUCAAAAUAAUAGUAGGACAUUCCUGGUACUGUAUAAUUAGUACUUGUCCUACUGGACUGCACCUAAACUUUCUAUGCUCUGAUUAGGAGUAUUUACUUUUGUAUCUUACUCCUAACACUUCCUGUUUAGUAGUGCACUCUAGUAGUUCGGUUUUUAAUUAUUCAUAUAUUUCUUAUCAUUAUUGCUUCCGCACUGUGCACCUGGCUACGUCAUUCUCACGUGAUGGCCAAUAUGUUUCGACCUCGGUCGGGGUGUGUCAAUAUUAUAGGCAAAGAUUGAGAUAAAAAUCAUAAAACACAUUAAAAAUAAAAAUAUCAAGUAAUUUAAAAAUACCAAACACAUUAAAAAAUUAUAAUAAUUAAUUUACAUGUGCAAAAAAUAUGAAAAAAAUAGGCAAACGCUCGUAGUCGCAUCCUCUGCGCUUUGAGGAUGGGUAUAUGAUUGUUUGAAUUCUUAAAACCAUACAAACUCUCAUGAAUCGUAUUUUAAAGGGAGUUCAAAAUAAACAAAAUUCAUAAUCAUUAAUGUAUAAGUCUGAAAGAUGUGAAAGCAUAAUAAAUGUUCAUAAUUGCAUCCAUCCUCAACGUUUAGACGAUGGUUGCAUGGUAGUUUAGAUUUUUAAAACCGUCCAAAUCUCAUGAACAGUGUUUUUUAUUUGAGUGCAAAAUUAAUAAUAAUUAUUGUAGAAGUGUGAAAAAUGUAAUCACUCGUAAUGAAAAGCUUUACAACUUUCAUGAAGGGGUUAACUCCAAAAUUUAGUAUGUAUAUACUAAUUUAGUAUUAUGUUUUACAUUUUUUUGGUUCAAAUUAUGUUUUUCAUUUUUAGUUUUAUUGAUUUAAAAUGUAUUUUUCUUAACGGGGUAAUGGGUCGGGUCAUAUUGCCUGAUAAUAUUAAUGGGUUGAUUUCGGGUCGGGUCAUAUUACCCCGUUUACUUUAACGGGUAUUACACGACACGACCCGUUAAGCUAUUGGGUAUGACAUGAAAACGACACGAACACGAGAAACACGAGGUCUACUCAAGUACUCCAUUUCUUGGUAUUUGUUCUCCAAAAAAAAAAAAAAAAUACACACACACACACAUAUUUGUAUUGAUGUGUAUUUGGAAGCUUGGAUUAUGUUUUCAUUUGUCUCGUUUUAAGGGUGUGACUAAAUUAUUUUAGAAUAGACCAUCCAUGCAUUUUUCUUUUGUGGAUAAUAGCUGUUCAUCCAUAUUUAGCAUUCGUAAUUAGCAAUGUGCAAAAUGAGCUUAAUUGAGAGUUAGAUUUAACUUAUCACUCCAACUUUUAUGCUUUACAUGUGGUUAGGUUUUCCUAAUUGAAACCCUAAAAUCAAGAUGAAAGGUUGAACAAAGAGCUAUCCAUUUUGGUUAAUUCCUCAUGGUGGUGACCAUAUCAAUUUGGUGGGUGUCCAAGAUCCUUUGUCACAUGAACACCAAAGACCUAAAUUCAAUUAAAGCACACAAUACAUGGCGGCCUAACAACCUAACGGCUGCGAAUUAAUUUGAAUUUUGGUAUUUGACUAUAUAUAUGAAUUUGAAUUUUGGUAUUUGACUAUAGAUAUGAAUUUGAAAAAUGAGAAGAAGAAUAGCUUUCUUGUCACAUCCCAACCCGGGCCCCAAUCACAUUCCGGGCUUGACUCCACCGUAGCACGAUAUUAUCCGCUUUGGGCCCCGACCACGCCCUCACGAUUUUGUUUCUGGGAACUCACAAUAUUAAUCGUUGCAUGAUAAUCCUGUCAUUUAUACUCUUAAUUUUAAUAGGGAGAAUCAACAAAAAAUUCUAAGCAUUAACACAUAAAUAAGAGGUAAGAUAGAAGAUAAACAAUAAAAAGUUGUAUACAUCAAGAUAGAUUUUACAAAUCUUAUAGUUGUCGAAUUAAUUUGAAUUUUGGUAUUUGACUAUAUAUAUGAAUUUGAAUUUUGGUAUUUGACUAUAUAUAUGAAUUUGAAAAAUGAGAAGAAGAAUAGCUUUCCUGUCACAUCCCGACCCGGGCCCCAACCACAUUUCGGGCUUGACUCCACUGUAGCACGAUAUUAUCAGCUUUGGGUCCCGACCACGCCCUCAUGGUUUUGUUUUUGGGAACUCACACGAGAACUUCCCAGUGGGUCACCUAUCAUGGGAUUGCUCUCGCAUGAACUUGCUUAACUUCGGAGUUCCGAUGGAACCUGAAGCCAGUGAGCUCCCAAAAAGCCUCAUGUUAGGUAGAGAUGAGAAUAUACAUAUAAGGGUUAUAGGAUCAACUCCCCUGGGCGAUGUGGGAAGUUACAAUCCACCUCCCUUAGGGGCCCGACGUCCUCGUCGGCACACUUCUGGCCAGGGAUUGGCUCUGAUACCAAAUUAUCACAUCCCGGUCCGGACCCCCACCACAUCCCGGGCUCGACUCCACCGUAGCACGAUAUUGUCCACUUUGGGACCUGACCAUGCUCUUACCGUUUUGUUUCUAGGAACUCACACGAGAACUUUCCAGUGGAUCACCCAUCAUGAGAUUGCUCUCGUGCGAACUUGCUUAACUUCGAAGUUCCAAUGGAACCCGAAGCUAAUGAGCUCUCAAAAGGCCUCGUGCUAGGUAGAGAUGGGAAUAUAAAUAUAAGGCUUACAUGAUCCACUCCCCUGGGCGAUGUGGGAUGUUGCAUUUCUAGACUUGGAGUCCUGCUUCUGGGUUGCACUGUGAAAGAGAAAGAUCAAAGUAGAUUUUUUUUUUAAAAAAAUUUAUAAGUGAAGGUUUAAUGUAGAUUUAAAAAAAAAAAAAAAUCUAUAAGUGAAAGUUUAAUGUUAAAGUUGUUUAUAGCCAUUUAGUACUACGGUCUGGUGAUAUUCCUCUUUACUUGUAAGUGAGAGGUCUUAGGUUCGAAUAUCGUGGAUGGCGAAUUCAAUACCAAACUAAGUUGCCAUUGUAUGGCUUAACCGAACUCCCCCCUCCCCUUAGUGUAAAAUAUAUUUGUUGUACUAAAAAAACAAAAGUUAAGGUUGUUUAUCAAAUGUCAAAGAUUAUUAAUUUGAUGUCAUAUAAAUAUAAUAAUUGUGGUGGGAUGUAACCAGACUUGGAAGUUGGCAUUUGGAAUUAGGGAAGAAUAUGUUUAAAUUUGUUGCUUUGUUGACAAAUAAGAGCAUAGAGUAAAUGAAUGAAGCAUGAUAAUUGAAGGAGGGUUGAAAAGAAAAGGUCAGGAUAGCCGCCCUAGGCCAAUCCUUGUCCCUCCGCCAUAGUGUAGUACCGUGAAGGGUAGAGUAACAACAAAAAUUUCUUAAUUAGUCACUUAUUUUAAUUGAUUCUCAUGAAAACUCUCCCAUUUUCAAUACAUUAUCAUGUAUUGAAUAUGGAAUUCUAUAACAUUUGUAGAGUUUGAAUGUUUCCACAGACCCCACAUAGAUGAUAGAGUUAUGCAGACUUCUAGUAGAAUUGCACUUGUACAUUUAGGUGGAAUAUGUUUAAAUUUGUUGCAUUGUUGACAAAUAAGAGCAUGACUGUAUGAAUGAAGCAUGAUAAUUGGAGGAGGGUUGAAAAGAAAAAGUCAGGAUUGGUUAAUUAGUCACUUAUUUUAAUUGAUUCUCAUGACAAUUCUCCCGUUUUCAAUACAUUAUAUGGAAUUCUACAACAUUUGUAGAGUUUGAAUGUUUCCACAGACCCCACAUAGAUGAUAGAGUUAUGCAGACUUCUAGUAGAAUUGCACUUGUACAUUUAGGUGGAAGUUUGAUCAAGGCAUGUAAAAUAGACCGGCGUAUAAAAUAGAGGGAGUCAAACAAAAAUUCAAAUAUCAGUGCCGAAAGCUAACCUCACUUGAUAGACUAAAAUUUGUUUCCAUGUAAGAAGACUUAAAAUACAAAGCGCGAAUUGACGAAAAGGAAGUUCUGGCUUUAUAUAUAGAGAAGAUAAGUAAACACAUUCAGGUGGCAUUAAGUAUCACAAUACAAACAUAGACAGUCCAAUGGCCCUGCAGCUGGAAGAAGAGGAAAACUUCGGCUGUGCCAUGCAGCUGGUGUUUUCUUCUGUGCUGUCCAUGUCUAUGCAAUCAGCAAUCGAGCUAGGCGUUUUCGACAUCAUAGUGAAAGCCGGUCCUGGUGCCAAUCUGUCUUCAUCAGAGAUUGCAGCCCAUAUCGGCAGCGGCACCAGGAAUUCUGAGGCACCGAUGAUGUUGGAUCGUAUUCUAAGGCUCCUAGCCAGUUACUCUAUUCUCAGCUGCUCUGUCGUUGCUAAUGAAGAUGGGUCUGAUUCUCAGAGGCUCUACAGCCUUGGUCCUGUGUCCAACUACUUUGUGACUAAUGAAGAUGGUGUUUCUUUCGGUCCCAUGAUGGCAUUGAUGCAAGACAAGGUCGUCCUAGACUCCUGGUC
rnacentral:lncRNA from 1 species